rnacentral:rRNA from 1 species
UACGAAGGGGGCUAGCGUUGUUCGGAAUCACUGGGCGUAAAGGGUGCGUAGGCGGGUUUUAAGUCAGAGGUGAAAUCCUGGAGCUCAACUCCAGAACUGCCUUUGAUACUGAGAAUCUUGAGUACGGGAGAGGUGAGUGGAACUGCGAGUGUAGAGGUGAAAUUCGUAGAUAUUCGGAAGAACACCAGUGGCGAAGGCGACACACUGGCCCGUUACUGACGCUGAGGCUCGAAAGCGUGGGAGCAAACAGG